AGAUGACUCGAAAAGAUCUCCCUGCCCGGUGAAAAGUUUAACGGCCACGGUUACCCUAACCGUGCGAAGGUAGCAUAAUCACUUGUUCUUUAAAUAGGGACUUGUAUCAACGGCAUCACGAGGGUUACACUGUCUCCUUUCUCCAAUCAGUGAAACUGAUCUCCCCGUGAAGAAGCGGGGAUAAAAAUAUAAGACGAGAAGACCCCAUGGAGCUUUAAGCUCAACAACACCUCUACAAAACACUCCCUCGUAAACUAUGAGACCUGUCUGUUAGCUUUAGGUUGGGGUGACCGCGGAGUACAAUAUAGCCUCCACGACUAACGGGACUAACCCCUUAUCCAAGAGCCACUGCUCUAAGAAUCAUUAAUUUGAUGUAAAAUGAUCCGAUUAUCGAUCAACGAACCAAGUUACCCUGGGGAUAACAGCGCAAUCCACUUCAAGAGCUCCUAUCGACAAGUGGGUUUACGACCUCGAUGUUGGAUCAGGGUAUCCUAGUGGUGCAGCCGCUACUAAAGGUUCGUUUGUUCAACGAUUAAAACCCUACGUGAUCUGAUUU
rnacentral:rRNA from 1 species